rnacentral:rRNA from 1 species
UGAGGAACAUGACCUUCGGCGGGGGAUAGCCGGCCCAACGGCCGGGUAAUACCGCGUACGUACCACAUGGGGACAUCCCUGAGUGGUGAAAGCAGCAAUGCGCCGAUGGAGUGCCUCGCGGCCUAUCAGCUAGUUGGUGAGGUAACGGCUCACCAAGGCGACGACGGGUAGCUGGUCUGAGAGGAUGGCCAGCCACAUUGGGACUGAGACACGGCCCAGACUNUACCGGGAGG